UAACGCAGUUACGUCGCCGCGACGUCGCGGUUACGUAACUUUAUGACCAAACAUAGGUUGCCGCAACGUAAGUUUCAACGUUGCCGCGACGUGCGGGUGAAAGACGCGAUCACGUUGCCGCAAUGUAUCUUGGCGACGUUGCUCGUCCGUAACUGCCACGUCCUGGCGACGUCGUGGCAACCAAAAUACAUACUGGCGACAUUUAUGCAACCUUCUUCAAAAAGGUUGCCAUAACGUUGCCAUAACGUUGCAAGGACGUUCUUGGCGACGUUGCUCGUCCGUAACUGCCACGUCCUGGCGACGUCGUGGCAACCAAAAUACAUACUGGCGACAUUUAUGCAACCUUCUUCAAAAAGGUUGCCAUAACGUUGCAAGGACGUUAGGGCGGAUCUGCAUGGUGCAGUCCUCAUUUGCCCUUUAUAGAACCCACAAAAUCUAGUCUGAAAUCUACAAGCCACAUAAAUAUUUUACCUACAUUUUGGCUGGUGGCUGUUGCUAAUGUGGACCCCAAGCCUAUUCAAAAGACAAGACAGUACACUAACAAAUAUCAAUUUAUUAUAUUUUUAUUUCAAAUAAUUUUGAAUUCAAUUUUGGGGAUGUUCUUCCGCCUGCCGUUCCAUCCGACCCUGUGAAGAACAAAUAAAAGAGAACACGUGAGUGCAUUUAUAUUCAUUUUACAUUCAGUCAAAUGUCAUUGUACAUUUAGUCAAAACUUAAAUAUGUUAUGCCGAGGUUACGCUAGACUCGAGCGUGAGCACGUUCUAGAUAGCAGCCCAAGUGGCUAUGAAAGCUAAGCAUUGCCGGAUAAUGUCUAAUAGUAAGAAGACGGUAGACGGGGUCUGGCAUUGCGGACGUUGCGCCUAAACAACGUAAAUAUUCAUCCUGGAAACACGAAGUCAAGCCAACUCACUUUGCACUACAGCUGCAGGAAAUGCAUUUUAUAGUUCUUAUGUUAUUUAAUUUAAACUUUUUAGCGUGUAGUUGAUCAAUGUAUUAAUCCUGCAGUGUAUUUUACACCAAUACCACACCAGGAAUGGGGAUCAUUAGCGUCAUCAUGCGUUGUGUUCGUCAAAAGGCUCUAGAAUAUUUAGUUGCCGGUAGAUCUGUUCGGGAUUUAGUUGUUGAGCGAACCUUGUAUUGCAACGGAGAUUUGUUAGUGAACGUGUUAUCCCUGUGUAACAGUGUAAAUAAUUACUUUCUUUUAUUUGUUAAAUUCUGUUAAACUUGGGACUCCAACCAAUAUUUUAUAUUUUAUUCUGAAGGUCCACGGCGGAAGUUUGUGUUUGAAAGUUCAGAAGCAACCAAGCUUACGUUGUGGUAAGUCGCCGUUCUGUCCGCUUGUAAAUAAAGUUCACUUAUAAAUGCAAACCAUGUAAAGAACGAUGUUUAAAAUAUAGCAUAACAUGUAAAAUCUAAUGUUACAUGUUGUAAGGCGUUUUGUUGGUUUGUGUGUGAUGUUUGAGGAGUUCUUGAGCACGAGGUUUAUGUGACAUGUGCGCGCUAAUGCGGGCCUCCUCUUUUAUAGUUGUGUGUUGUCCCAUGUUGCAGCUAAUAAACCAGUCCAGUGCUCAACCCAACCUGUCUCCGUGGGUUCAAUUAAGAAGCAGAAGAGCUGCAGUGUACCCAAGGUCACAUCUGCUCUAUAAGGUGUCCGGCCGCCAUCCCCUAUUCACGUGGUUUUGUGUAUUGGAGAACCUGCUCAGCAAGCUGCAGUCUGCAACUUCUGCGGGAGGCAUGUACUGUUGCAUUUCAGCAAAAGCACAAGGGUGAAAGUCUUUGGUCCCCUUCAACUCCUGAGCAACAACAGCAGCAGUGGCAUCUUCCCCUUCUUUCCCCUAAGGCUGUAGCUGCUCCAAACAAAGUUUGAGGCCACAGAGCGCAACACCCUCCUCACACACUCCCCAGGAUUGGACCCCCCAACUAGGCUCAGAUGGGAAAUCUAAGGAAAUCAAACAACCAUGGUUAAGGCAAGUAUUUGCAUUGUAUUUUUCAUGUGGUGUUGGUGGUGUUUUCUUUUGAGGGGGGCGAACCAAAUUAAGGUAUUUGAAGAUGGACUGCUCAUCUCUAACUACUUAGCUAACAACAGGGAACUAAAGAUGAAAAAAGCUCAAUGGCAGGGCCAUGUGGCACACUUGGUGGCAUGUGUACAAUAUAGCCUAAAGUCACUUCACCAUUAUUCGUACAUUUACCAUUUUUUUUGUGAAAUCUCUAUUUUUAAGGUGCUCCUCGAGUUCCUGUAGUUCGGCCUGAGUUUGCGCCUGCAGUAACUCGACACUAGCUUCCCCAGGGUCCCCAUGUCGAUUUGCCCGUAGCAAUAAUAGAGCCUCUCUCUGAUUCUGCUCAACAGUCUCAAGCCUUCGGAGCAGAACCUCCAAUGUCGCUGUAAAAAAAAUAUGUUGAGAUCAGAGGAGUGUAUUUAGUAGUAUUUGGUGUCAUUUGCAUACAGUGCAAUACAGUUCAAUACAUGUAUUACCGUUGAUAUUCUUUGCCCAGAUUGGUAUGGUUUCUCUCUCUCUUCGGUCACCUAAGUAAUGUGUAUAAAGCAUAAUGUGUAGGGUUAGUAUAGACAGAUGACUGUCAUAACCUGUUGAUAAGAGUUACUAGUUUGGUUUUAACCACCCUCUCCACCCGCCACUUUACCGUCCCCAGUAGAGAUAGGCAAUGGCGUUUCAAAUGAAGACGCAAUCGAAUCAUCUGCAGGAAGUACAAAAUAAUAAUUCAAUGUUUUUUUUUUGGUUUCAAACUCUUUGUUGUCUUGGCUCAUAGAAUUACUGUUAUGUCAUCAUCAUUCGUCAUCAUUACCAUACAUAACUUUACCAUCAUUUUCUGUAAAAACGUCUCUUGCCGGUGAAGGAGGGGAGUAAUCUACAGAAAGAACAAGAUAAGAAUUUAGGUUAUGUGUUUUUGUUUCGAAACAUAGUGUCUUCUUGACUUCUAUGCAAUUAUUUGUAUUUGUUUUUAACCAUCAUUCCCUUGCAAAACUCUACCGUCAUCAGUCACAGGGGGUGAAGAUAUUUGUAGUGCGCUACGCCGUGGAAUGGGGGAUUCUAUCUGGGGUGGAGGAGGAAGGGAAGUCCUGAAAUAGGGACCUUGUCCUGCCUUUUUCCCAUUUCGUUUCUUUGUUUUCUUUUCACCUGAACAGAAUUAUAUUAGCCGAAAGUAAAUAACAGUGUUACAUGUUUACACAUUGUUUAGAAUUGCUGCUUGCACUUUUAACACUAAGUUAAUACAGUACACAAGGAUGUGCAGAUAUACCGGUGUGAAUAAAUUUUUGGGGUUUGACUAUGAUGCGCCUCCCUGUGUCCUCAUUUCCUGUCUCCACACAGGACUUUGUCUCCGCCCUCUUGUUCCUCCUGACGGCCUGAUCCCAAUCAUCUAAACAGUCAGGUGGGCCAAAACAAUUAGAAAUUACACUCUUUUAAAUGUGUUGCAUGUCACCACUUGUUAUUUGUCGCCCAUUAACACACCUGUUGAGGAAAAUAUUUUUAUUGGCCUUUUUAGCCAGGUUUUAGGAUCGGGCAAAUCUUUGUCCUUUGCCCUCUGUGUGGGCUUGUGGAGUGGCCAGUAGCUGCAUGUCUUCUGAAAUGGAAAACAAAAUAGUUUUGCAGAACUUGCAUAGAAUUUUUGAAAUGAUUGACAUAAAGGUUUUUCGCAUGUACUUACAUCUCCCUCUUUUAUAAUCCAAUUACUGGCCACUAUGCCAACAGUCCUUUCCCCCAAAAAUUCGACGAUGCUAUACAUUCUGUAAUCAAGAACAGAGAGGUUAAUUUAAUACAGUAAAGAAUAAUUGUGUCUGUACAAGAAAUUGCAAUGAUAAUACACUGAGCAAAAUACAACAUACUGCAAUGUCAUGAAGAAUGGCCAUGAAGAGGAUUUUUUCCCCCACAGGAAUCUUGAUUGCCUUUCUUUUCAGGUUGUCAUUUUGGAUCCAUCUCAAAACGGUGUCAUUGUUCUUGUACUUCAGUACUCCGAUUAAUGUGGAGUCACAAGGGACACUGAAAAGUGGUUCUGGGUGGUGGUAUACACGGCAAAGCUGGCUUCCGUCCCUCUCCUCUAUGACCUCGCAGCAUUCGCGGCGAUUCAAAAUAAAAGAAGAAUUGGACCUCUGCCUACCAUGCUCCAUUGACUGUCCAGCGCAUUCCUCAAGCCUUUUCACCACUUGUGACAGGGGGCAUCUUCCACUCCUUACCAUCCUCUUUAUUUUCUUGAGACAAUUUUCAAAUUUAAAAGCGCUACAAUUGUCCAAUCCUCCAAAGGUCACGGCAUCCUCCACAAUGUGCAACAUUGAGUGCACGUUGUAGACCAGAAACUGGUUACCAUAAAGUUCUCGGCCUCUCUCAACAAAGAAUCGGAGGAGAUCAGCAGCAUAUCUCCAGUGUUGCUCGACCAAUGCUGGACUUACAAGUAUGUUCAUUGCCACACUGAAUGUCAUGAAGUGGCUGAAAAAUUCAUCUUUAAG